AGAUUGGUAGGGGCUUUGUAAGCCAAUGAGGUUUAUCUGAGGUACGAUUAUUGCUGAUUGAAAACUUUUCCCAAUACCCCGCCAUGACGACUUGAAAUAUAGUCAGCAUUGGCAUUGGCGAUUUUUGACAGUCUCUACAGAGA
rnacentral:snRNA from 1 species